AUUAUUAGAAAUUAAAUAUUGUUAGUAAGUAAAAAUUAUGAAAACAAAAAGUUAUGGCGGUAUCUUAAGCUUUUCAGAGGAAUUUGCUCUUUAAUGGAUAAAACGCCAGAAUCUUACUAAGAUUAGUAAAAUCAGUUUGUAUACCACUAUAAAAACAAUUAUUAAUAAUAAUUGUUUCAAAAUUAUAAUAAAUAAAAAAUUAAGUCAAGGUGCAGCAAAAAUUUUAGUAUGAAGUGAAUUACAAAGCUUUUUAGAAAUUUAUUUUUAAAUAAAAAAAAUUAGGAUUUGAAAGUAAAAAUAUAAUAGAAUGAUUAUUUGAAUUAAGUUCUGAGAUAUGUAC
rnacentral:rRNA from 1 species